rnacentral:rRNA from 1 species
UACGAAGGGGGCUAGCGUUGUUCGGAAUUACUGGGCGUAAAGAGUGCGUAGGCGGUUCUUUGUGUCCGCUGUGAAAGCCCCGGGCUUAACCUGGGAAUGGCAGUGGAAACUAGAGAACUUGAAUCUGGCAGAGGGGGGUGGAAUGCCACGUGUAGCAGUGAAAUGCGUAGAUAUGUGGCGGAACACCGAUGGCGAAGGCAGCCCCCUGGGCUGAGAUUGACGCUCAGGCACGAAAGCGUGGGGAGCAAACAGG